AGUGAACGCUGGCGGUAGGCCUAACACAUGCAAGUCGAACGGCAGCACAGUAAGAGCUUGCUCUUACGGGUGGCGAGUGGCGGACGGGUGAGGAAUACAUCGGAAUCUACUUUUUCGUGGGGGAUAACGUAGGGAAACUUACGCUAAUACCGCAUACGACCUACGGGUGAAAGCAGGGGAUCUUCGGACCUUGCGCGAUUGAAUGAGCCGAUGUCGGAUUAGCUAGUUGGCGGGGUAAAGGCCCACCAAGGCGACGAUCCGUAGCUGGUCUGAGAGGAUGAUCAGCCACACUGGAACUGAGACACGGUCCAGACUACUACGGGGGGCAGCAGUGGGGAAUAUUGGACAAUGGGCGCAAGCCUGAUCCAGCCAUACCGCGUGGGUGAAGAAGGCCUUCGGGUUGUAAAGCCCUUUUGUUGGGAAAGAAAAGCAGCAGGUUAAUACCCCGCUGUUCUGACGGUACCCAAAGAAUAAGCACCGGCUAACUUCGUG
rnacentral:rRNA from 1 species